rnacentral:antisense_RNA from 1 species
AAGCGCUGCUGGCACACCGGGCACUGGUAGGGCUUCUCGUCCGAGUGCGACAGCUUGUGUCGGUUCAGGUGGUAGACGUCGCGGAAGGCCUUGCCACACAUCUCGCAGGCGUGGUUCUUCCGGAUGCGCUUCCCCGAGGCGGUCGUGGUCACCACGCCACCGGCGGCCACUGCGGCAGCGCCGCCGCCGGCACCCGCCUCUCCCCCUCCCCCGCCGGCUCCGCUCAGCUGGGGCACGCUCAGGAGACUCAGGGGCACCAUGGUGGGCAUCUUCAUAGCACCCGAGGGGACCCGGCCGGCCUUGGCUCCCGUGUGGAUGGCUUCGUGCCUCCGGAGAUUGUAGCCGUUCUUGAACUCCUUGGCGCACAGAGCGCAGAUGUAGGGCCCCUUGCUCUUUGUCUUCUUUUCCAAGGCAGAAGCGACCGGGGCCACGGCGACCGUCGAGGUUGGGGCUACGACGGCGGUGGCCGCCGCCGCGGCGAUAGUGGCGGCGGAGGCGGGGGGGAGGAAGGGAAGGAAGGCGCCUUGCGGGCCGCGGAGCGCCGCGGCGAC